rnacentral:rRNA from 1 species
AUGAAAGGCUGGGGUGCUAACCUGGGACGAGACCUCCGCGACCGCAAGAAGGCCUUGUUGACCGCCAUACAGGCCCUUGACCUGCGUGCGGACGCGGUCGGCCUCUCCCCCGACGAGUGGCUCUCUCGCUACGACUUAGAAGACCAGCUCUCCGUCAUCUACACUGAUGUGGAGGCCUAUUGGCGCCUCCGCGGUGCCCAGAAAUGGGUUUUGAAGGGCGACGCUAACACGGCCUACUUUCAAGCCAUCGCGAAUGGCCGCCGUAGACGCAACACCAUCCCCCUCCUUUGGGAUGGCGCGAUGGUCCUGCAGGACCCCCGUGACAUUCGGACCCAUGUUGACGGGUUCUAUAGGUCCUUGUUCUCUGCCGCUCCUCGGAGCGGCCUUUCCCUAGCCCCUGAUUGCUGGACCGGCCCCCAGCUGGUUUCUGAUGCGGAGAACGCGGCCCUUACGGCCCCCUUCUCCGAGGGAGAGGUCUGGGCUGCCAUUAGUGGCAUGAACCCUACCUCGGCUCCAGGUCCAGAUGGCCUCCCGGUUAAAUUCUUCUAAACCUUCUGGAACGUGAUUAAACCAGAGGUCAUGGCCAUCUCCGACGAGUUCUACAUUGGGUCCAUCGACCUCGACGCCAACUUUGGGAUCAUCUCUUUCAUUCCUAAGGUGCCUGGCGCUUCCGACAUCCGCCAGUUUCGUCCGAUCACGGUUAUCAACGUGAUUUUCUGGAUUCUGGCAAAAGGGUAUGCCAAUAGGGUGACCCGUCUUGCUGACCACAUUACCCACCCCAACCAGUCCGCCUUCAUUCAAGGUCGGUAUAUCCUGGAUGGGGUGCUUGUUCUUCGUGAAGUCCUCCAUGAGGUCCGCUCCCAACACCUCAAGGCGGUAUUCCUGAAGAUUGUUUUCCAUAAGGCUUAUGACAUUGUUAGUUGGCCCUUCCUGUUGGGGAACGUAGUAAUUUAA